AUUUCACAAACUUGUAAAGACUUAACAACAGUCUUUUUGCUUCUGGUAUCAUUACCACAACAGUAAAGUUAGCAUCCAGAAGAAGGCAUAUCCAGUCCAUAAUCUGUAGAUGAGUAAGAAAAAUCAAGGUUUUAAAGUUCAUUUUACAUUGAUUCAUUUUAUAAAACCGAUUGUUAAAUUCAAGGUAUAAGGGAAAUAAAUUUUCUUUAUAAAAGUCUGAAUACUGUGGUCCAGGAGUUGGCGCAGUGGAUAAAGUGUUGGACUUUCAAGCAUGAGGUCCCGAGUUCAAUCCCUAGCAGUACAUGUCUCAGAGUGAUGUCUAGUUAUUUCUCUCUCCUAUCAUCUCAUGAAAUAAAUAAAUAAAAAUCUUAAAAAAAAAAAAAAAAAAAGUCUGCGGAGUUGGGCAGUAGCACAGCAGGUUAAGCGCAGGUGGCGCAAAGCGCAAAGACCGGCAUAAGGAUCCCGGUUCAAGCCCCCGGCUCCCCACCUGCAGGGGAGUCGCUUCCCAGGCAGUGAAGCAGGUCUGCAGGUGUCUGUCAUUCUCUCCCCCUCUCUGUCUUCCCCUCCUCUCUCCAUGUCUCUCUGUCCUAUCCAACAAUGAUAUCAAUAACAACAAUAAUAACUGCAAUAAUAAAACAAGGGCAACAAAAAGGAAUACAUU